rnacentral:rRNA from 1 species
ACGGAAGGCAGCAGUGAGGAAUAUUGGUCAAUGGUCGGAAGACUGAACCAGCCAAGUCGCGUGCAGGGAGACGGUCCUAUGGAUUGUAAACUGCUUUUGUACGGGAAUAAAGUGGGGGACGUGUCCCCCUUGGAAUGUACCGUAAGAAUAAGGGUCGGCUAACUCCGUGCCAGCAGCCGCGGUAAUACGGAUGACCCGAGCGUUAUCCGGAUUUAUUGGGUUUAAAGGGUGCGCAGGCGGAGGAUUAAGUCAGCGGUGAAAUUCUAAUGCUCAACAUGAGAACUGCCAUUGAUACUGGUCCCCUUGAGAGAUGUCGAGGAUGGCGGAAUGUGAUGUGUAGCGGUGAAAUGCGUAGAUAUGUCACAGAACACCGAUUGCGAAGGCAGCUGUCCAGAGAGCUUCUGACGCUCAGGCACGAAAGCAUGGGUAUCAAACAGGAUUAGAUACCCUGGUA